rnacentral:rRNA from 1 species
GAUGAACGCUGGCGGCGUGCCUAAUACAUGCAAGUCGAGCGAACGGACGAGAAGCUUGCUUCUCUGAUGUUAGCGGCGGACGGGUGAGUAACACGUGGAUAACCUACCUAUAAGACUGGGAUAACUUCGGGAAACCGGAGCUAAUACCGGAUAAUAUUUUGAACCGCAUGGUUCAAAAGUGAAAGACGGUCUUGCUGUCACUUAUAGAUGGAUCCGCGCUGCAUUAGCUAGUUGGUAAGGUAACGGCUUACCAAGGCAACGAUGCAUAGCCGACCUGAGAGGGGGGAUGGGCCACACUGAAACUGGAACAGGGCCAAAAUCCUAACGGGAGCCAGAGGUGGGAAACCUUCGGAAAGGGCGGAAGGCCUGAGGAGGAAACGCGGGGUGGGUAAUGAAGUCCUCGGAUCCGUAAACCCCUGUUAUUGGGAAAGAACAUAUGUGUAAUUACCGGUCACAAUCUGGACGGUACUAAACCAGAAAGCAACGGUAAACUACGG